UCGAAUUGCUGCGACAUUACUGACACUGCCUUCUAGAGGGACGAGGAAGUUCAACACAAACCUGGCCAAUCCCAAGGCAGUAUCAGGGUGGGUUUUGUUCGAGUUUCUCCAUCUGCAAUCCAGCAGCAUAGCCUUCUGUGGGAGAUUCACCCAGAGGGACUGAAAUGUUUUGGCCAAUCCACACUAGCAGUCAUUGGGCUGAAGUUUUCUUUGUCUCCCAGGAUGGAGAAAUUGGACUGAUUCCUCAGACAAGGAAGAGAGCCAGGCACCAAAUCCCGAGAUCUGGAUCUGCAAUCACUGCCUGGUCAGGCUGGAAUGAAUAAUCCAGCUGUAAUGGGGUGUGGGAAUGUGUGCAGCAUGCCCUUUUUUAAACUUCUGAUACUUUGCAGAAGAGGCACACCUUACAUCAGCCAGGCCUUACAGAAAGUUCAGUUCAAAGUUUUUGGCUUUUUCUGCGUCUUUUGAAUGAAACAAACACAGAUUACAUAGUUUUAAAUUCCCCAUCCUAUCUACACAGGCUCAUUUGCUGUCAUGUUUAGCUACUUGUAGAAAAGAAGAAACACUACCCCUUUAAUUCUUCAAAUAGGUUACUAGAAAAACAUUAGCAUUUUUGCAAAAUAUAUUGGGUUGACUGUUUUGGUUUAUUUUUGCUGAGAGCAGACUGGAUUGACUACAGAAAGGUUGGCAAGUGGAAAGUACAAAGUCUCUUUAUAAAAGUGAUCUGAGGAGCAGGAGCACGCACCUAGGAAAUCUUUGUUGAUUGUUGCUAAUAUCUAUGAUAAUUAAGCUAAAAAUAUCCACAAAGCAAUAGAAUUUGCAGAGACGACUCUACUGUCUUAAGCAAAUAAUGAAGCAGGGAACAGUUAAAUUGAUCCCACAACUCCCAUUUCAAUAACAAAGCAGCAACAACUGUUAAUCUAUAGCACUCACUUUAGAUUACAAACCUAACACUGAACAGGCAAUUUCAUUAGUGAGAAUACAGCUGAGAGAGAAAUGCUGGGAGGGAAAAAAGCCAUCCCUGUUGAAAUCAAAGCAUCCUGAGAAUUUCUUGCUGCUGUGUGCCCAGAAGUGCAAUCAGGGAAAAGUUCUGAAGAUAUCAGGUACAGCUAUAGGAAGCAGUUCCCUUUUGUUUUGCCCUGAAGGCUGUCAGAACACAGCCUGCUGACCGAUCUCACCAACCCAGGUUUUUCCUUUUUAUUCUUGUCCCCCAGCUCAACACAUUCUCUGAGAGCCAACCAACCCCCAAGCUCACCCACAGAUACCAGCACUGCCUGGAAGAGAGAGUUCUCUUUUAAAAUUAGCUCCUUUCAGACGCUUGUACAAACCCAUAGAUAUCACAGGGCCUGCAGAACCAGUGCCAAGGAACAUCCCCAGAGUGAUGCUGCCAAUGAAGGAGGGAAGGCUCAUUCCCCAUCAGUGCUGGCAGCUGUGGGGACCUUAUGGGAGUCAGAACUUUCUGUUCUCACUGAAGGUAGCAGGCAGGACUAUAAAUAUCCACAUAGAACAUAUUUACUGAAGGAUUGAGUGCUGUAAGAACACAUUUUAGAGGUAAUAGCAGCUACUGAGAUAAAAUCAAAGAACUACAUAAUAAUGGAGGUGAGAAGGGACCUCUGAAAGCACCUACUCCAGCCUCCUGCUCAAAGCAGAGCCAACUUCCAUUACAGGGUGUGCUGCCUGCGACCGUGGCCAGCUGUGUUCUGACAGAUCUCAGGGAUGGAGAGCCCACAGACUUUCCAAGGAAGCUGUUUCUGUGUUGCAUAACCUUCAUUCUGAUGAAUUUUUUCCUCAGAAUGUACGUCUACUCUCUCAUCAUUUUGCAGCAUGCUGCUGCAGAGAGUCUGACUCCAGCUUCACUACAAUAUCAUUGAGGUAAUGGAAGACGGCAAUUAGAAGUCCCAUUAGCCAACCUUCUCCAGGCUAAACAAACUCAGCACCCUUAGACUCUCCUAAUACAUCUCCUGAACAUCCUAUUGACCCUUGACUGGACGUGCUCCCAUUUUUUGACCUAUCAGUUGCACUGGAACAGUCUUCCAACUGUGAGUUGCAAUCUCACAAGUGCAGAGCUGAGGUUAAUGAUGGACCUGUUGGCUACAUUCAUAUGCAGCCAGGCUUCAUUACCCUAAGCACACACUGCUCAUAACCACUUUGUGGUCCACCAGGACCCCAGGUCCUUUCUGCAGAGCUUCUCCCAUUCAGUCCAUAUUGUUGAUGUAUCUCAGAGGCAGGACCAGCUGUGCUUGCCCUCAGGAUGAGAUUCUUGCUAGCCUAUUCUUCAAGCUUGUUAAGAUCUUUGCCUUUCUUUGAUAACAGACCUUAGAAGUUUGGGUAACAUUUUCUGCAUGUGCUCAUGAAAAGAAAAAAAAAUGAAUAAAGAGAGAAAAAAAAGAAGAAAAAAAAGGAGUAAAUAUAGGACUUUUGUAUAUAUGUGCAAACUCACAAGUGUUAUGCUGUUUUGUACCACCACUCUACAUUCCUUACAAUACUACUAGAGGCCAAGGAAAACUGAAAUCCCAGCUGACAUCAACAGGAGUUUUUACUGGCUGCGAUGACCUUGAAGAUAGUCCAGACAUGUAAAGCACAACAGCAGGAAUCAGGAUGUCAGCAUUAGCACUGGGAUGGAAUUGAUUAACAUGAUUUUUCUAGAAAGGAAGGAAGAUAAGUUGCUGCUUUUGAGUGGGGGACUUGAAAUCUAUAACUAAUAUUCCUGACUGAAAUUCUGUUAGCAAAAUUUAUGACACAGAUGGGAAUCACAUUUUUCUUCAGAUAAGAACACUUCUUGUAGUCAUUCAUUCUGUAUUUCAUGAGACACUAGCAGAUACAGUGAGCUAUUUCACUCUAUUUCUGCUUAUAGAGCAUCCUGACUUUUCGACACUUCAAAAACUGUAUAUAUUGUGAUGACUAUAUAGACAACCUCAAUGAAAGUCUACUACUGCAUGCUUAAUAAUUCACUUGUAUCCAAAUGGAAAUAUUCAUUGCAGCAUUAGCAAAGGCUGUUCUAAGUCAUGCAGUGGCUGUUCACCAAAUUUAACUUCCCAUGCCCAGAUUCUUGUAAGAAUUUCUCCUAUACAUCGCAUCUCCUUUAUUGCUUUAUUGCAGGAGUUUAGAAAAAACGCUGCCCUUCCAUAAUGGAAUUUUUCUCCUCCCUUGUUGCAGUUGCGUAUGCAUUUUACAAGUACACAAUGACUGUGCUGCUUUAACUUUGUUACAAUACUCGGGGAAUAAUUAGUUCUGUAUCUUCUAACAAAGAACAAAUGUAUUUGUUCAAAAAUUAAAUAUUUACUUUCCUAAGAGCCAUCAUAAGUUGUUGUGAGUGCUUGUCUACAUUAUGUGUGGAAAAUUAAAUAUACUCUGUAUAAUAAUUCUGCUGGUAUAAUAAAGGAUUAUGCAUGACAAGGGAAA
ensembl:lncRNA